UCCAGUGUACUUAAUGUUUUUCAGCUCGAAGAGUUUCUUAGUUUCAGACCCAAAACGCAAGAAGAAAAGAAAAAGAACAGAUCUUUUAUUCUUCUUCUUGUUCUUUGAUAAUCUCUUUUAACCAACCAUGUUGGAAGCAUUUGACCCAAAUCCUAGAGGAAUUAAGCAAAACCCAUUUUUAUCUGAUUAUUUUGUGCCUUUUAGAGUUUAAUUCCUUUUCUUUAUUAGCAAAAACUGUUGUCUCUGUUUUCUCUUUUCUUCUCCAAAAAUUUUGAAAAAGAAAGAACCCCCAAAAGAGAAAAACUUUACCUUUAUCUAUCUUCUGUUUAAAGAUCCUUUUUGGUGGGUGUUAUUCUUGUUUUGCAUUUUUUUUCAAGAGAAAGAGUUUUGGGAAAAAGGAAAUUGAAACAGAGUUUGUUGGGUGUUUUCAUUUUAAGUAUUUCAGAUCUGAAGGAAGACUGAGUUUGUUUGUUCCUAAGCAUUGUCUCUUUUGACUUUUCAUAUCUACUUAUUUCCCUCUCACUUUCCUUCUUUUUCUUUCUUUUGAGUUCUUUUUUUUUUUUUUUUGGUAGGUCCUCUUUUGAACUUUGUUUCUGGGAAGUAACUAAACGGUAUUUCUUUUUUCACUUUAAAUUUUGGUAUUGAAUAAUUAGAGAGUGGUAUCUGUGGAAAUGUUGGCCAUUGGGAGUCCUUUGGCCUCCAGUGUCCGUGCAAGCACUAGCUGCAAUGCAUUGCUCAGAGAACUGCAGCAAAUCUGGAGUGACAUUGGUGAGAGCGAGGCUGAUAGAGACCGUAUGCUAUUGGAAUUGGAGAGAGAAUGCUUAGAAGUCUACCGCCGGAAAGUUGAGGAAGCUGCCAAUGCCAAGGCACGUCUACAUCAAUCUGUUGCAGCCAAGGAAGCGGAGGUUGCAACACUUAUGGCCACACUUGGGGCGCUCAAUAUUCAUUCACCGAUGCAGACACAGAAGAAGAUGACAUCAUUAAAAGAAAAACUUGCAUCUGUCACUCCACUGCUUGAGGAUCUGAGGAUGAAGAAAGAGGAAAGAAUAAAGCAAUUUGCAGAUAUAAAGACUCAAAUUGAAAAGAUCAGUGGAGAAAUUUCUGGUUACAACUAUCCCGGUGAUACUAUGAUUAGCUGUUUAACUAUGGAAGACCAAGACUUGUCCUUAAGAAAGCUUACUGAAUUUCAGACGCAUCUUCAAACUCUUCAGAAGGAGAAAUCUGAUCGCCUUCACAAGGUUUUAGAAUACGUAAAUGAGGUGCAUUUGCUUUGUGGGGUACUAGGGUUGGAUUUUGCCCAGGCUGUAAGUGAUGUGCAUCCCAGCUUGCAGAGGACAAACCAGGAACAGACAACAAAUAUUAGCAAUUGCACAUUUGAAGGUUUAGAACAGAUCAUUAACAAGUUGAAAAUGGAAAGAAGAAUUCGAAUCCAGAAGUUGAGGGAUAUUGUAGCUGCACUAUUUGAACUAUGGAGCUUGAUGGAUUCACCCCAAGCAGAGAAGAGUAUCUUUUCAAGGGCCACUUCAGUUCUUAGAUUAUCAGAAGCUGAAGUUACCGAACCAGGAGUUCUUUCAACUGAGAUGAUUGAACAGGCAUCAGCAGAAGUGGAGAAGCUCACUAAACUGAAAGCUAGCAGGAUGAAAGAACUUGUCAUGAAAAGGAGAUCAGAAUUGGAAGAUAUUUGCAGAAUGACUCAUAUUGAACCCGAUGCAAGUACAGCUGUUGAGAAAUCUAAUGUAUUGAUUAAUUCUGGUCUAGUAGACUCUUCUGAACUUCUAGCAAACAUUGAAGCACAGAUUACUAAAGCUAAAGAUGAAGCUCUGAGCCGAAAAGAAAUAAUGAAUAGAAUAGACCGAUGGCUUUUAGCAUGUGAAGAAGAAAAUUGGCUUGAAGACUACAGUCAAAAUGAGAACCGGUACAAUGCUGGAAGAGGUGCACAUAUUAACCUUAAACGUGCAGAAAAAGGUCGAAUAACUGUAACCAAAAUUCCAGGGAUUGUAGAUAAUCUGAUCAACAGAACACUAGCUUGGGAAGAAGAAAAAAAUAUGUUAUUUCUGUAUGAUGGGGUGCGACUAGUGUCGAUACUGGAGGACUACAAACUGACAAGGAAACAGAAAGAAGAGGAAAAGAAGAGAUGCAGGGACCAAAAGAAGAUUCAAGAUCUGCUCCUGAGGGAGAGAGAAGCCAUUUAUGGGUCAAAACCUAGUCCAAGGAAAAAUAACAGCUUCAGAAAGCCAAAUGGAUAUCAAGCAAAUGGUAAUGGAUCCAUGACUCCUACACCUCGUCGGAACUCAGUGGGUGGAGGAACUCCUGAGCUACUUACACCGCGAUCUUACUCAGGGCGUCAAAAUGGCUACUUCAAGGAAAUGAGAAGGUUGUCUACUGUGCCUCUGAACUUUGUUGCCAUAUCAAAGGAAGAUACAGCAUCUACAUUCACAUCAGUAUGUGGUUCUGAGCUAGCCUCUCCACCACAUAGUUAAAUUUAGAAGCCACAACUGGAGGGGAAGGAGGUUGGAUAUGUGCUAUUCACUCUCUUUGACACAUUAGUGAUGCAUAUGAACAUCUGCUGAAAGGUUUUUUGUUUGGAGUAUAAUUGGAAGUUGGGGAAAAUGGUGUGAUGUACUUGCGUUAUAAAGAUUCUAGUUUCUGGAAGAGCUAUUGUUUAUAGUUCCAACAAAUGUACACUCGAUUAAAGCAGCAAAACCUUGUGAAUAUGAAGGUGAUUGUACACUAGUGUAUGAUUGUGAAUUGGUAGGAGUUCCAUAGGUGACUGACAUUUGAGGACAUGCAUGUGGAUGUUAUUUGCAUUUAGGACAACACUCAUAGAUAGUAGUUGGAAAAUUGUGAUUAACUUUUUGUGGUCUGUGGAGAAAGUAGGGGGCAACUAAGAUGGAGAGUGUUAUAGCAGUACUGACCUUUCGUCUUUCAUGGAUUUUGCUUGUGUUUUCAUUGUCUAUGUAUAUAUGUAUUCCAGUGUGACCA